AUGGGAGACAUUCAGCUACAGACUGGUCCUACGGUCAGGCCCACUGUGUCUUUGCUCAGGCCCUCCUCUGAGCAUCUCUCCGGGGGCUCUGCCACGCUGGCCUGUCUGCUGACUGGCUACUCCCCCCAGGGGGCGCUGGUGAGCUGGGAGGUGGACGGGCUGGAGGUGAGUCAGGGGGUUGUGACCAGUCCAGAAGAAGAGAGUGAAGGUGUCUACAGACGCAGCAGCACCCUGACCCUGAGCAAGGCAGGUUGGGAGAAAGGGGAGGUGUACGCCUGCAGGGUCUCCCACUUCCAACACACCCAGGCCUCCGCCCUUCGCAGGAGUCAGUGUGUGAGCUAGGACGCGCUGGAGCAGCCCCAGAACAGGAGCUCUGUCUGGGAGAGCAGGAGUAAAUGAGGCUCUCCUCUGGGCGGGGCCCUGGUUGAACCAGUAAUAUUGUGUUAGGUCUUAGUUCCUGUGUUAACAUGAGUUAUGCUGAGAAGGGAACAGUCUGUGUGUUGUGUUUUACAUAGAGGAGAGAUGACUGUCCUGUAUUGACACUGUAACUGGGAUCUCCCUGUCUGUCUCUUAAAUACAUUUUGAUGUAGAAAUAACAUGGUGGAACAGUUCAUUCACUGUGAGAACCAAUGAAAGUGUCAACAGCUAAAGUAAAGUAUUCAAUAUAACCAA